AAGGUCAGGCUGAAGACCUUACCCGAUUAGCUGAGAGGUGGUGCAUGGCCGUCGUCAGUUCGUACUGUGAAGCAUCCUGUUAAGUCAGGCAACGAGCGAGACCCACGUCCACAGUUGCCAGCAUACCCUCCGGGGUGAUGGGUACACUGUGGAGACCGCCGCUGCUAAAGCGGAGGAAGGAGUGGGCAACGGUAGGUCAGUAUGCCCCGAAUCUCCCGGGCUACACGCGGGCUACGAAUGGUUGGUACAAUGGGCAUCUACCCCGAAAGGGGAAGGAAAAUCUCUUAAAGCCAAUCGUAGUUCGGAUUGAGGGCUGCAACUCGCCCUCAUGAAGCUGGAAUCCGUAGUAAUCGCGUUUCAACAGAACGCGGUGAAUACGUCCCUGCUCCUU
rnacentral:rRNA from 1 species